AAGGGUUUAGAGUUCAGCUAAUCCUGAAGACAAGCCUUUCUUAGAAAUGUCCAGAGUUAGAGUAGCCCAGGCCCGCUAAAUUAAUCCUUUCCUGCACAGAUUUGUAGAAAUUAUUUAUGUAUUAUAGAUUAGAGUCCAUUUCACUUAUAUGUGUUGUAAUUAUUAUCUCCCGCUAUCUGACUGGCUUUUUAUUAUCUUAACUGUUUUGAUAUACCUGAAACUGAUGACUGUGUGGUGUGAGGGGCGUGUUUGGCCAUGCACAAAUCAGUACCAGAGCAAGAACAAGACUGGACCAAGAAUCAUACAUAAUUGGGAAGUAAAUUAGAAAAAGAAGUAGAAAGCAGAGGGGUGAGGGGAAAAGAGAAAGAGAAAACUCUAUUGCUACACAAGAAUCACCUUGGAAACUAAGAAAGUCUUGCCUUGGGACAAGGGACCGGUGGAAGAUUCACUUGAUAUACUGCAGCUUUGUCAACGAUGGUAGUGUUACUGAACCUGAAGUGAGUUCGCUCACCCGUUGCACAGCAAGCCAAUCUCU